rnacentral:rRNA from 1 species
ACAGAGGCCACAAGCGUUAGGCGGAAUCACUGGGCUUAAAGCGUGUGUAGGCGGACCGUUAAGUGCUUUGUGAAAUCCCCCGGCUCAACCGGGGAAUGGCUGGGCAUACUGGCGGUCUUGAGCUGCCUAGGGGUCACUGGAACAAACGGUGGAGCGGUGAAAUGCGUAGAUAUCGUUUGGAACGCCCAAGGUGAAAACAGGUGACUGGGGGCAAGCUGACGCUGAGACACGAAAGCCAGGGGAGCAAACGG